rnacentral:rRNA from 1 species
GGAGUUAGCCGGUGCUUCUUCUGUGAGUGAUGUCCUUCCUGCCGGUUAUUGACCCGCAGGCCUUCUUCCUCACUGAAAGUGCUUUACAACCCGAAGGCCUUCUUCACACACGCGGCAUGGCUGGAUCAGGGUUGCCCCCAUUGUCCAAUAUUCCCCACUGCUGCCUCCCGUAGGAGUCUGGGCCGUGUCUCAGUCCCAGUGUGGCUGAUCAUCCUCUCAGACCAGCUACGGAUCGUCGCCUUGGUGAGCCGUUACCUCACCAACCAGCUAAUCCGACAUAGGCUCAUCCGAUAGCGCGAGGCCCGAAGGUCCCCCGCUUUCCCCCGUAGGGCGUAUGCGGUAUUAGCCUGGGUUUCCCCAGGUUAUCCCCCACUACCGGGCAGAUUCCUAUGCAUUACUCACCCGUCCGCCGCUCGCCACCAGGGAGCAAGCUCCCCGUGCUGCCGCUCGACUUGCNUGUGUAGCGUCGCCGCCGACGCGUCACUCUGACGCAUGACUACAACUACUCGA